rnacentral:ncRNA from 1 species
GUCCCGGACAUGACGAUAAACCGUCUGCUGCUUCGCGCCGCGCCGGACUGAUCACCGACGGCUCAACGGCGCAGGCGGGUACAACUUAAUAUGUUAACCAGCUGCCUUUUGAGCGGGAAGCUGCAGACCGGAACGGAGAAAAAAUCUUCGUCGGUAGGCGGUUUGUUUGCUAUACCCUUUUUGCGGCUGACAC